GGCCGGUUAGCUCAGUCAGCUGAGCGUGGCACUAACAACACCAAAGUCGUGGGUUCGAUUCCCAUUCGGCCC
rnacentral:tRNA from 1 species